CAGCAGCCGCGGUAAGACGAACCGUGCGAACGUUAUUCGGAAUCACUGGGCUUAAAGCGCGUGUAGGCGGGCCGCCACGUCGGCUGCUGAAAUCCCCCGGCUCAACCGGGGAACGGGCACCGAUACGAGCGGCCUCGAGGGGGGUAGGGGGGUCUGGAACUUCCGGUGGAGCGGUGAAAUGCGUUGAGAUCGGAAGGAACGCCCGUGGCGAAAGCGAGGCCCUGGACCCUUUCUGACGCUGAGACGCGAAAGCCAGGGGAGCGAACGGGAUUAGAUACCCGAGUAGUCCCUGUCUCUUAUA
rnacentral:rRNA from 1 species